UUAUGUGAUAACUGGUGUGAAUUGCAGAAUCCCGUGAACCAUCGAGUCUUUGAACGCAAGUUGCGCCCGAAGCCCUUAGGCUGAGGGCACGCCUGCCUGGGUGUCACCAAAAGGCGCCCCCCCGUCUCGCCCGUCCCAGGGCACGGGGAGGGGGCGAACGUUGGCCUCCCGGGAGCCCCUGGCUCGCGGUUGGUUCAAAGAGACGGGCUCUUGGUGGGGAGCGGCACCGCGGCAGAUGGUGGUCGAGAACAACCCUCGUGGCCAGUCGCGCGCGCCUCUCCCCCGGUUCAAGGCACGGCGACCCGCGGGCGACGUGGAUCGUCCCGAGCGCGACCUCAGGUCAGGCGGGGCUACCCGCUGAGUUUAAGCAUAUCAAUAAGCGGAGGAAAAGAAACUAACGAGGAUUCCCCUAGUAACGGCGAGCGAACCGGGAAGAGCCCAGCAUGAAAAUCGGUCGCCCCUGGCGUCUGAAUUGUAGUCUGGAAAAAGCGUCAA
rnacentral:rRNA from 1 species